UGGCAUCCAACAGACAACAAACACAAACCGUCAAAAAAAAAUCAGAAUCAGGAUUUCAGAUCUAAACAUCGCUAAUACUGAUAGAUAACCAAGAAAUUAUGAAUUUUUACAGACUCAGUGACUCUCAACAUCAAAAAAAGAAAGAAAAUGAUAAGACACGGGAAAAGAUCCGGACCGUUUGUUUGAAGGAUUUGGUGGGGUCCAUAUGUUCCUUCAAACAGGCAACGCAUGCUCUUCCCAUCCCAUGUCUUGUUUAUUGCUUUCUAUUUAACUAUAAAUUAUCUGUAUAUUUUUUUGAUCCGUCCUUUGGGACUUCCUAGUUAGAACUUAGAAGAAAGGGAAGAAAAAAAAAUUAAAACGAUUUAAUUUUAGAUUUUUAGUACAUGAAAAUGAAACAGGAGAGAGUAAUAAAAAAAAACUGAUGUGUUUGUUUUCGGAAAAUGGACAAAGAUAUACCUUUAUCCGAGAAGACAGCAGCGGCUGCACCGCUUCUGUGUCUGUGCAUCUGUGCUGCAGUAAUGCCAGACCCGUCCAAUCCAUCCUCCAGGAAUCAACAAUUUCCCUAUUAAAUAUUACUAAUUUAAUUUUAUUGUAAACAAGAAAUCAAAUCUUCUGUUCCUUCUACUCUUUUUUUUGUCAAAAAGAUCUUUUUUCCCCUUCCUGGCUUACUGGCGGGGGCUUACUGGCUUCCUUU
rnacentral:lncRNA from 1 species